rnacentral:lncRNA from 1 species
AGGAUCUUUCUAAACCUUUCCCACUUCCUAACUCUAUUAAUAUUCCUAAUAAUAAAUAUGCUAAUUAUCAGCAGUAGCAGUAACAAAGAACAUCAUAACUCCAACUUUCAUACAGUUCAGUGGAACCAGUUGCAGUGAAGUGCCCUACUUAGGAAGAACCUUGCUGGAAAUGAUGGGGGUUGGGAAACCAUAUGGUGCUUGGCUGAGGACCUGAAACCAAUAGAAACUGAGAUGGAUUUGGUGAGGUUGUAUCGUUUAUCAUCCUAGGGAAGGACUGAGUCAAGUCCAAGAAUGAGCCCCUCUCUCAGAGCUGGAACUUCAUCAGCUCUUUGGCUCUGAUUCAGAAGUGGUACUUGCAGGCUCUUGACAUGCACCAGGAGACUCUCCUCCCAGCAAAUGAGGACUCCUAGGGCCAGUGAGGCAUAUGUCAUCAUAAUGAAUUAUGACUGGAUCCAUCUGACCUAUAAAAGUAAAUGCUACCCAUGAAAACAUUGCACUACUAAGCAAAAAUGCCCAAAAACAUGGACAGAGGGAAUGGGCUUUUAUUUUUAACUUGGAAUUUAAACAUGUAGAGCUCAAGGAGCCUCAUAAUGCAUUUAAGUAAGAUGACUAUGUAUCUAGAAUUCAUUGAGCGUGUGUAGCACCAGGUCAAGGACAGAGUGUCAGGGUAUGAUUUAACAUCCAGUCCAUAGGCUCCCCAAGGCCAUUCUGUAAUGAUAUUGUAUUGUACUUAUUUAUACACACUGCCCACAGGGCUUGUAAUGAGUGAAAUGCACUGGACUGAACUCCCGAGGGCAGGAGCAUUCAUCUCUGCCUCAUGUUUGGCAUAGUGUCUGGCAAACAAUGUUUGCCUUAUAGGAACAGUUGAGAAUAGAGCAUCAUUUCUCAAGAACAAGGCCCAGCACUUGGUGAGCCACUCCAAUGGAGCCUCAGUUCCCAGAGGCUGGAUGACUGGAUCUCUGUAGUCUGGUGGACCCAUGGGGUUCCCUCACUGCUUCAAAUGAUUUGCUGCUUCUGGCUCUUAAAACGAGUGCUGAGAAGCAUUCCAGCUGCUGUGAUUCAAUUGCAUUUCAGACAGUGUGAUGCCCAUCAAAGCAUUCCAUCUCAUCACCCUGCAGCCUCCCCAGCUGUUGCUAGUAGCAAUCCAUUACCCUCAGGCAGCUCAACAACUCAAUUUGACUUGGGCUCCAUGCCUUUGUGUAUAAAGAUGCCUCCCUGCUUGGUUCUCUUCCUUCCAGAUAUAGAACAGACCAUCUUUACCAGGCUGUGCCUCUCCCAGAUGUUUUCUGUAACCUCUAAAGAUCAGCUCAGAAUACAAACCUGCACACAAGUUGUGUGGCCUUAGGCAAAAUCUGGAACUGCUUGGGUGUUCUGAACCCUAGCUUCCAAAUCUGUUAAAAUAGAAUUCCCUGUCCUACUGUCUGCUAGUGUGAAGGUCAAACAAGAACUCUAGGGAAAGGGUUUAGUCAACUGAAAGCCUCUAGACAAAUGUUAGUUAUUACAUCAUCUUCUAUCUCCCUGUGCAAAAGACCAAACAAAAUAAGAAACAAAGUCCCACACUUCUUGGUAACCAGAAUCUGGGGCCCUAGGUAAAAGCAUCUCCCAUUUCCCUGGGCUAGUAGAAUAAGGAAAAUUUGCAUUCCUUCAAGCUACAGAUUCCUGUCAAAGAAUGCUUUGUCAUCUUUCCACUCUGCCUUGAAAUAGGGCAGGGUCCCACCAUCGCAGACUACGAGGUUCUCACUGACAGGGUUCUUGUCUUACUCAUUUUUCUAUUUACGUAAUAGAUAUGUUGUUGUCCAGUCAAGACUUCAACAGUUCACUCCUAAUUGAACUACCUUUACACAUAUGGUUUAUAGACUCUUUCACUUUGGGAUGGUGAAAAGCUCUGGAGUUGGAGGAGAGUGAUGGUUGCACAGAAUAUUGUGACUGCACACAAUGUCACUGAAUUGUGCAUUUGUAAAUGGUUAAAAUUGCAAAUUUUACAUUUUGUAUAUUUUACCAUAAUAUAGUUUUUUCAGAAAACACUUUCAUAAACAUUUUUAUUCCAUGAAUGAAUAUAAGGUUGGCUCUCUUCAAUGCCUAGCGACUGAGGAUCUAAGGUAUUUGUCUCAGGCUGUAUCAGAGUUAAGGGAGCAAGAAAGGAAGACAAGCUUACUUAAUGCCCUUGAUGCAUUAGUGUACUCAAGGGGGAGGAAACACCUGGAAACCCACAAGUAUACACCAGCAUUCCAUAAAAAUGCCAUCACCCUAAGACUCCCUUCCUUUAAGGGCCUCAACCAGCCCCACUCAACCUUGGAUUCGACUGGAGAAGGACUCUCAGGGCUCCUGGCACUUCUACCCCUACACUUCUCUUUAUGGGUUUGGCUCCAUUCCUUGUAGAAAAGCUCCUGGGGACAGGACCUUCAUAUCCUAUGUGCCAACAGGAGGGGCUAACCUGGUCUCAGAAUGUGGGCUGAAUAACAGUGUGCUGAAUGAGACGAGAAAAAAAAAAAAUGAAUGACAAGUCUUUUGUAACUCCUGAAAUUUUGUUGCAUUGACUACAGCAGGAAAUACACUCAUUAGCAUCCAGAAAUACUUUGGUUUAGAAAGAUCUAUGCUAUAAUCACUUAUGGUAAGGAGACUAGGGACAAGCAUAGGAGGGCUGGAGUAGGAGAGGACCCAAAUACUGUGUUCCAUGAUGAAGGGCCAACUUGGGCAUUACACUCACUCUGAAUGACUCAACAGGGCCAGAUUAGGACCACCCAGCACAGAACAUGGGGAUUAUGAUCCAUCCUAAGGAAGUAUGUUCCAGUGAGCACUGCCCAGCAAUGGAAUAGGCUGCCUCACCAGAUAGUGAGCCCCUAACACUGGAGGUAUUCAAGCAGAUGUUGAACACUCUGUUCUUAGGAUUCCCUCUACCUCUACCCCACCAACCCUGAGAGUCUGGGAUUGUUUUGAAGUGAGACUGAAGUAAAAGUAUACUAGUAUAAGAUGUGCCAGGGAGUCUAGAUGAGUUGACCAAGAAGCAUCCCUGGACCAGGAGAAUGUUGAGCCGGUCCAUUUCUCCAGUUGGUUUUGCCACUCACCCUUCUCUAUGUUCUCCCCUGCCCCACGUUUCCCUCCCUUUCCAGUUUUCUUCAUCUCUCUUUCCACCAUCCACUCCCCAUGCUCCCACUGCCCAGAAGUAGAAAGCACCUGGCCUAAAAGUCUUCCCGUUCUUCCACAGCUUGCCUGGCAUGGGGAGAGGUGCUGCAUCUUUGCCAGCGUCCUGCCAGCUCCUCUAUUGUGGCAAGUGAAAUUACCAGCUUCACACUGCGGGUCUAUUUAAAUCAGCCUUUCAUGUCUGAUGGAUUUAAAAAUAUGCUAGAAGUCAGCAUCUUAAAUACAAGAAACACAAACAAGCAGAUGAGGCUGCGUUUUCCUCCCUCUGUGCCCAUCCCACCCUCUUCCCUUCCUCCCACUCUCUCCUGCCCCCUCCCAAGGCAGUUUUCAUUCACGAGGCCCAUCUCCCCCUCUCCCCACCCUUCUCUGUCUCUAGCUGGCACAGCAGUCUUCAGCCUGAGCAGUGGCUGGGAACCCCAGAGUCUAGGUUCCCUCUUCAACUCUGUGGGACACGAACAAGGCCCCCCAGCAUGAAUGCUGGCACCCUCACUCCCCACAUGGUGUGGUGGCGGUGGCGGGUUGUCUUCUGCACUGACUGUCGUGUGCAAAGGUAGCCCCAGACUGAACCCAGGGCAGGCUCACCAACCUGCCUCCUGUCACAGAUGGGGAGGCUGUAGCCCAGGCAGGAGGGAUGACUUGCUGUGAUGCUGGCUCCUGGCCCACUGCCCUGGCAGGGCACAGCCCACCUUCCCAAGCGUGUGUGUUCAGUUUUUCAGGAAGGCCAUUUGUUAGCCCAGAGCCCCACAGCUCCCAGUAACCCACCUGUGAGAGUUUCUCAGGCUCCAGUCACAGCAAGGGUACCUGUCUGUCCCCGGAUACUGAGUGGGGAUGACCUGGGGCCAUGGCCCACUUUGGUUGACCCAGCCCAAUUUUCUCCAGCUACAAUUUAAGUCAUUCUCCCUAAGCUCUAUCAUCUCUUUGAGACUUGAUAAGUGGUCCCCGCAGCAGGUCCUCAGCCCAUGGGCCGCUGGUCAGCUCCAGAGUUGCAGUGAGGAGACUAGGAGAGGCUGCCUCACCUGGAAGUGGCUCUACUGCUCUGUCCGUGGCUCGGGUGAGGUGGUCGUUCCACCUGGUGGUCCUCAACCUUGGAUGUCUACUGGAAUCACCUGGGCAGUUUUUCCUUACUAGUUUAUUUAUUCUACUUCUACUUGUCUUAUUGCUAAAAAUAAUGCCAAUCUUCACCCCCCCACACACACCAGAAUUUCUGAUGUAAGUAGAAGUUAAAAGAGCUUUAAAACUUUUGCUUAAUAUUACUAUUAUUAGCAAUAAAAAUAAUGGAAUGGAA